CAAGUCGCACGGGCCGCAAGGCCAGUGGCGCAAGGGUGAGUAAGGCGACGGCAAUCAACCCCGGGGUUGGGCAUAGCCGCGGGAAACCGCGGGUAAUUCCCAGCGACGUCGGUGAGAGGCAUCUCUUAUCGACCAAAGUUCCGGCGCCCCGGGACGGGCCGUCGUGGUAUUAGGUAGUUGGCGGGGUAACGGCCCACCAAGCCGACGAUGCCUACCGGGCGUGCGAGCGUGGCCCGGCACACUGGGACUGAGACACUGCCCAGACUCCUACGGGAGGCUGCAGUCGAGAAUCUUCGGCAAUGGGCGCAAGCCUGACCGAGCGACGCCGCGUGGAGGACGAAGGCCUUCGGGUUGUAAACUCCUGUCGAGGGGGAAGAAGGGGUGUCACAGCCCUUGACUGAUCCCUGGAGGAAGCACGGGCUAAGUUCGUGCCAGCAGCCGCGGUAAGACGAACCGUGCGAACGUUAUUCGGAAUCACUGGGCUUAAAGCGCGUGUAGGCGGAUCGGCACGUCGGUCGCUGAAAUCCCCCGGCUCAACCGGGGAACGGGCGCCGAUACGACCGGUCUGGAGGAACGUAGGGGGACCGGGAACUUCCGGUGGAGCGGUGAAAUGCGUUGAGAUCGGAAGGAACGCCCGUGGCGAAAGCGCGGUCCUGGACGUUUGCUGACGCUGAGACGCGAAAGCCAGGGGAGCGAACGGGAUUAGAUACCCCGGUAGUCCUGGCCGUAAACGAUGGGCACUGGAUAGGGGGCUCGCCGAUGGGCUCCCUGUCGUAGGGAAACCGUGAAGUGCCCCGCCUGGGGAGUAUGGUCGCAAAGCUGAAACUCAAAGGA
rnacentral:rRNA from 1 species